rnacentral:rRNA from 1 species
UACGGGGGGGGCAAGCGUUGUUCGGAAUUACUGGGCGUAAAGGGCGCGUAGGCGGCCUGCUAAGUCGGAUGUGAAAUCCCUCGGCUCAACCGAGGAAUUGCGCUCAAAACUACUUAGCUUGAGGGAGUUAGAGGUGAGCGGAACUAAUGGUGGAGCGGUGAAAUGCGUUGAUAUCAUUAGGAACACCGGUGGCGAAAGCGGCUCACUGGGACUCUUCUGACGCUGAGGCACGAAAGCUAGGGUAGCGAACAGG